UGGGGAAUUUUGGACAAUGGGCGAAAGCCUGAUCCAGCAAUGCCGCGUGCAGGAUGAAGGCCUUCGGGUUGUAAACUGCUUUUGUACGGAACGAAAAAGCUUCUCCUAAUACGAGAGGCCCAUGACGGUACCGUAAGAAUAAGCACCGGCUAACUACGUGCCAGCAGCCGCGGUAAUACGUAGGGUGCGAGCGUUAAUCGGAAUUACUGGGCGUAAAGCGUGCGCAGGCGGUUAUGUAAGACAGAUGUGAAAUCCCCGGGCUCAACCUGGGAACUGCAUUUGUGACUGCAUGGCUAGAGUACGGUAGAGGGGGAUGGAAUUCCGCGUGUAGCAGUGAAAUGCGUAGAUAUGCGGAGGAACACCGAUGGCGAAGGCAAUCCCCUGGACCUGUACUGACGCUCAUGCACGAAAGCGUGGGGAGCAAACNGGAUUAGAUACCCUGGUAGUCCACGCCCUAAACGAUGUCAACUGGUUGUUGGGGAAUUAGUUUUCUCAGUAACGAAGCUAACGCGUGAAGUUGACCGCCUGGGGAGUACGGCCGCAAGGUUGAAACUCAAAUG
rnacentral:rRNA from 1 species